rnacentral:rRNA from 1 species
GACGAACGCUGGCGGCGUGCUUAACACAUGCAAGUCGAACGGAAAGGCCCUGCUUUUGUGCGGUGCUCGAGUUGCGAACGGGUGAGUAACACGUGAGUAACCUGCCCUUGACUGUGGGAUAACUUCAGGAAACUGGGGCUAAUACCGGAUAGGAGUUCCUGCUGCAUGGUGGGGGUUGGAAAGUUUCGGCGGUUGGGGAUGGACUCGCGUCUCAUCAGCUUGUUGGUGUGGUAGUGGCUUACCAAGGCUAGGACGGGUAGCAGGCCUGAGAGGGUGACCGGCCAAACUGGGACUGGACUAAGACACAGACCACAACCGGACGCAGCGGUGCAGAAGAUUGCACAAGAGGCGGAAGCCUAGUGCAGCAAAGCCACGUCGGGGAAGACGGCAUGCGGGUUGGAAACCAAUUUCGCCUGUGACGAGACGAGAAUGACGGUAACGGGUAAAGAAGCACCGGCUAACUACGUG